GUCCAACUGACGAGUCCCAAAUAGGACGAAACACGCGUCCUGAAU
rfam:Schistosoma haematobium scaffold544_15, whole genome shotgun sequence.